AAGGCCGUUCGCGGCUGGACUAUUUAUUACCCUUGUCUUUUGCGCACUUGUUGUUUCCUGGGCGGGUUCGCUCGCCACCAGGACCACAAUAUAAACCUUUUUUAUGCAGUUGCAAUCAGCGUCAGUAUAACAAAUGUAAAUCAUUUACAACUUUCAACAACGGAUCUCUUGGUUCUGGCAUCGAUGAAGAACGCAGCGAAAUGCGAUACGUAGUGUGAAUUGCAGAAUUCAGUGAAUCAUCGAAUCUUUGAACGCACAUUGCGCCCUUUGGUAUUCCAAAGGGCAUGCCUGUUCGAGCGUCAUUUGUACCCUCAAGCUUUGCUUGGUGUUGGGCGUUUUUGUCCCCCCCAAAAAGGGGACUCGCCUUAAAAGGAUUGGCAGCCGGCCUACUGGUUUCGCAGCGCAGCACAUUUUUGCGCUUGCAAUCAGCAAAAGAGGACGGCAAUCCAUCAAGACUCCUUCUCACGUUUGACCUCGGAUCAGGUAGGGAUACCCGCUGAACUUAAGCAUAUCAAUAA
rnacentral:sRNA from 1 species